rnacentral:lncRNA from 1 species
CCCUACUUCUACAAAAUACACAACAAUAAUAUACCUCUCACCGAUAAAAUUUGAAAAGAAUAGGAUGUACUAGACCCUAUCCUACCUUCGUAAGGGGUGGAUGGGAAUAAAAAGACAAUUUGUGAUAACUAAUAUACCUACCAUGAUAUUUUUAUAAAUAUUACGAGAGUAUGUCACUAAGGUUUAAAUUAGAAACUUGAAAUAAAAAAAGUGCUCAACAGAUCUUAAAUUUGAAAGUGUCAAACCUCUUGAACAACAA